CUAUACUAAUUUUUGCCCGUGUAAUGCACGGGCUAGAUUAUUUUGACGGUAAUUUUAAUGUGUUAAAUGUGUUGGAUUUUCGUAAAUUACAUACAUCCUAUUUGCUUUUGCAAUUUUGGAUUAUCGGUCAAAGAAUGUAAAGAUUAGAAAAAAAGUCAAAAUUACAUAAGGGUUGGCGAAGCAUAUUGACCAUGGAAUCCCAUUGAUGUAUUCAAAUCAGAAUAUUUCUUCCCAAACUUACAAAAAACUACCUCUCCUGCUCCAAUUUUCAUACAUCAGAAACCAAAUUAUUUAAAGGAAUAUCUAUAUCAACCAUAUGAAACCCGGGUACCAAAGUUGUAACCCUUCUCAAGAGCUGGGCCUGCACCUUUCUAGGCUCCAAUGAUCUACUAACUAAAACACAAUGAGCAAAAUCACCAUUAAACAUCAAAGCAAAACUCAGAUAACUACGGGAAAACUAAAUAAACUAAUUACCUGGGAAGUAAAAUUGCAAAGAAAAUUUGCCGUCAACGUGAGGAAACCUACGGGCUCGAUUGGGUUGAUUGUUUUGUAAUGAUCAAUCAAAUGCGGCUUUCAUAAUCAAAAUACCAAACAGUUGGUGGGCAUAUAUUUAAGAAGUAUUAAAAAUAUGUCAAAACAAGUAUCCAUUUUCUCAAUAUCUCGUCGCAAGCAAAGAUUCUGAAUUUUGCUCAUCAAACCUCAUACUUUUCCUUACGAGUCACCUUUGAUCUUUUCCUUUCAUCCCCAGUUAUACAUCAAAUAAAUAGGAUGUAUACUAUCAUCAAGUUUAUUCAAAGCAUGCGAAGGUUAAUGGUUUGCCUUCAAUUCUUAGGAAGGCAGACCAUAUAUAAAAAGAUUAAUCUGAUUCUGAUGAAUUUAUCUAAACCACUAUAUUUUUUGAACCCUAAACCAAUAAGUUAAAAAUUGAUGUAACCUUUUCAGGAGAAUUAAAUACAUACAUAUUAAAACCAUAAUGUAAGCAGACUUAAUGUCGUACAUGCAUAUUUAUUCUUUAUUUUUUAACAUAAAACUACAUUGACAUCAAUAUUGUUUUCAAUGCAUGUUUAGCAAUUAAAACGAGGCUUAGAGUAUCGAUUGAUGAGAUCAAAUUUCUGAAUUAAGUUCUCUUUGAUUGUAGUUGUAAAUUUCUGCCUGGUGCAACGGCGCCUGCUGCCGCUGCCCGCCGCCGUCCAAUCCUUACAAACUUUUUUUUUUAUUUAGAUUUCAGAAUCAAUUCCAAAAUUAUAUAUGUGUGUGUGUAUAUACAUACAUACAAAAUCAACUUUUGAUUUCUUCCACAUGUAGAUCAAUUCCUAACAAAUACAAAGUAGACUCUGAUAUCACUGUUGAGAAUCUACUUAUACAUGUACAACGAAAAAUUAAAAUUAUUUCGAUUCCCAUCGAGGAUCCCUUUGUGUUUAGAUAAAAAUCAUGAUAAAUAUUAUACCUUAGAAGAAUUCUACAAAUAUUUUGCUUUCCUUUUUCUUUCCAGCAAUCUUGAUUCGCCACCCACAACUAUUCAAUUGUCCAUCAUCCAACAGUGAUCCACAUGGAAAAUAAGAUUGCAGCUAUCAGAGUUUUCUCCUCUUGUGCUAGCAAGAAUGAUUAUGAGAAAAAUCAUAUGAAAUUGAAAACCUUAGCCAUGUAUUUAUAUAAGCCCAAACGAGUCUGACCUAGUCCGGUCCAAUAUUUAAUUAAAUUCGGUCCGUGAAUUAAUUAAUCAAGUUAAUUAAUUCGGGUCUAUAAAUAACCAAACCAAUUAAUUAAUUUAUCGAACGAUUGUUAAAUUAAUUAAUUGACAAAUUGCAAUAUUCCAAUUCUCUUUCGUGUGCGACCCAUCAAAUUCCCGAUCAUGAUGCCUAACAACGUGGAAUAUUAUUUUGAUUUAAUCAAAAUUGAUAAAUUAAAACACCAUUUUAAUUUAUCAUCAACUCACACUCGCCGUCCCAGAUUGACAUCUAGCAAUGUGUCAGGGCAAUACAUGUGACGGGAAAUGUCACGUGAUAUGACAAAACCAAACUCGUUCGUUUACCGUGAAAAUAUAAUCCAUUCGUCAAUAUGAUCCGAUCAAUUACGAGAUAUGGAAUUGUGUCAAUCCCAAUUUCGAUCAUAUCUUUCACUCCACUAUUAAAUCAAUAUAAGUCGAAAACUUCUUUUCGACUUAUGAGUACACAUUGGCCAAGGAUUUCAUCAUCGACUUAAUUGAAUGAAAUGCAGAUCAUAAUCUCCUACUAUCUAAGAGUGACGAAUCCUUUAUUGAUCAAUCACAACCUUCAUACGAUUUUUAACGUACCCGAACGAUGUCGUAUUAGCGGCUCUUUGCAGAGCAACAUCCAACACUGUCAAAGUAUGACUGUCCUCAUAUAAGGUACCAUGACGACCUCAAGUCAAAGGACCAAUUCCACUACCGAACGUUAGAGAUUAACCACUGACACUCAGAUAGUUAUCCAUGUGGAAUCUCUCGACGGGUCUCCAAUGUUUUGUUCUAUAACAAAACAUUCACGUGUUCAUUUAAGUAUCACCACACUUUAGCUUGUGAGAUUAGCUACUUACUUUACAAGUAAAAAAUGCCACACGUGAUGGUCUAUCCGUAAUAACGAUAUGCGUAUCUCAUUAUUACUUACGACCACGGAUGAUUUAAGAUUCAAUCAGAUGUAAUUUGUAUCUUACAAUCACAAUUCAUUGUGAUUAACAAAUUACGAAGAUUUGAAUCUAUGGACUCUAUUAUUUAUUUAAUUGUCUAUUAAUUAAAUAAUAGAUCUGUUAUUAAAUUGUAUUAAUUAUAUAUCAAAAGUAUUUAUGUCCAAAGUUGAUUGGACCUAUGGCAUAAUACUUACAGAUAUAACAUGACCAGAAUGAAAAAGAGUGUGGUUGUUAACUUGCCCUGAAAGCAUUAAGCGUAUAUAUAUUCUCGAAGUUUCCUCACUUCUUCAGAAGACUCUUUGAGUACACGAUCCACAUAAAGGCGGAUUCCAGAUGCACUACUAUUUUAGAAUCAAUGCUUACCUCAAUAAAUCUAUUAUAACCCGUGUUAGUAACUAUAUGUUGAAACAAAGUUUAACUACGGUUUACCUCAAUGGCCCAAAAGGAAGCCAUGAGAGAUCCCGCUUAAACUUUGCCUAUUUGUAGCAUGGAUGUAAACUCAAUUAGAGUGGAAAUGAAUAAUAUGGUAUAUAAUGGAAUGUGUUCUUGCUAGUUGAUGGAAGCUAUUGAAUUAGAGAAUUAAACGGGUGAGGUCAGCAUAGAAAGAAAAAUAAGAAUGAACUCGUGUUUGGAAGCAAAAGGCAAACUAAAAAUGUAAUAUGAUCAAUUCUUCACUUGAAGUAAUUUCUGUAAAUUUUCAUCUCGCACUACUAAAUCUUAUUCUGAUUGUUAAUAUAAGCUGUGAUAAUUUGAAUAUGAAUUGUGUUUAAAUGACCGAUUACCUCAGCAUAAGGUGUAACCAGAAGACUACUAAGAGCAUACUAAAGAAGCAAGAAUACUUAAAUCAUCUCCAAUGGUACUUUGAAUUGUGCAGUAAUCUAGUGAUUACCAUGAAACACACCAAAAUAGUAACCCACUCUGUGAUAGGCUUCGAAUUAGCAAUGAAGUAAUGGAUAAGAUUAGCUUGGUAAGCCAUAAUUUUAAAAUUAAAGAAUAAGACAUGUCAAUACGUGAAAGAUUUUCUGCUAUGGAAAAUGUUCCUGUAACAAGGAGGCUGACCGCCUUCUUGACAGAAGCCCGAGGGUGGGGCCCACAAAAAAAAUGGGCACUCCCCCCUAUUUGUGGGGUUCGGUCAGGGGGCGGUCAAACCCCCUGUUCCUGUAGCACGCCCCUUCUGCUAUUGGGCAACAUUCAAAACUGCGUUGAUUUAUUAAUUAGCACCAUAGAUUUUUCUCAACAUCCACCAAAUUCUUAAUCCUUGACAAGGAAAUCUAAGACAAUCAUAAUCUGUAGGUAGGCAAACACCUAAACAUAUUUCACAAGAUCUUCUUUCCUCCCAAACCACCAAGAAAAAAUGUGAUCGUUACAAGACCUUGACAUUGCUUUGUUUGACUUCUGAAGUAAAUAUAGGGAAGCAUAUAAUGCAAAGCAACCUUAAUCUUUUAACUACAAGAAUAAGAAUUUUUACCUAUGCCAACAGAAUUAAUCGGUUAUUCAAUAUCUUUCUUUGCUUAUUUUCCAAAUAUUUAUUUGGGGAAUGUCAACUGGGAGGGUUAAAUUGCAUGAAUAGUAUGAGAAUACAUAUAAAGAAACAGUUUAUGCUACAAAAAUUAUAAGUGAACUUAAUUAAACUACAGUGGCUAAGCAUAUAGUGAUCAGAAAUUAUUGCGACAGUUGAAGUAAAUUAAAAUAAAAUAAAAAUGAUUUUCAGGGCAAUGCUGUCGAUAAAAAUAGUCACAAACAAAAUCUAUUUGAACAAUGAACUCAUAACAUUAUUCCCAGUAUGCAUUACAUGGACUACAAAACUCACCUAUCAAGAAAAUGGAAAUAUAGAGUUAAGAAGAAGAACCAAACCUGUACACAUGAUGCUCCACGAAUCAACCUCAUACAUGAAGUAUGCAUGAUAACGCUGUCAAUCAAAUAGAAACAAGAAAAAUGAACACAGACAAUGACACCAAGAUGCAACAACCCUUCCAAUGUCCAUUUAUGAUUGUGAAUCAAACCAAUUCAAACCGAGCUUAAUAUAAUCUUAGGCCACACUGAAUUUUAGACUAAAGAAUAAAUUGAAAUCGAAGCCAAAAAUGAGCCAUAAUAGGUAGGCUUAUAUAAGGCUAGUGUUCAUAUCAGAUAAGGUCAACGUUAUAAAUUUAUACCAAUAUUUUUUUUUAAUAAUCUAAGUUAUUCACAUCUUAACAUGUGAAAUUAUAAAGACAUAAAAGUGAAAAUUUAUACUUACCACUCAGGUUUUGGCUUCAUUUCGUUGGGAAACAAGAUGCUGUCUACUAAUAUGAAUUGGAAUUGAACUGAUUUUCAUUUUUUCAGAACAAAGAAUUCCCUUUCAACUUAGUGAAUUUUAGUUUUCUAUUGUAUUUCAUGUUUCAUAUAAAACUCGAUUGUACUUGUAAGCUAUAACAUAUUCAACAUUCAUGCAGUAUUUUUAAAAUGAAGGAUUUAUGUAUUUUAGAUUAAUGACCAAUUUGUGAGAGAAUCUAGCAUUACUCAUAAGUUCUCACGACUUCAGAAUGAGGGUGAACUAAGAAAAACUUAAUCCUUUGUCCUUGUUGACGCCUCUACUAUUCAUUAACUUUAGUCUCUUUUUUUAUUUUUAUUUUUUCUGGCAAAGGAGGUCGUACACAAAGAAUUUAAUGUUUGACUAAAUAUGUGAUUUUGAUAUUCCCAUUAAUUUUUCUUAGACGAUUAUUCACCAAAUUAUGAAUAUCGAGACAGAUAUUUCAAACAUCCUAGUGCAUCCUUCAUUCGUGUAUAAGGAAGGUAGUGAUAGUACUUUAUGGCAGUGCCCACAAAUGUUUAUAUCUCAAGAUCUGUUUAAAGUUCAGUAAUAUUAAUUUGCAUACACCAGCUGAUCAACAUUCAUACACACGACCACAUUUGGAUGAGAGGAAAAUGUUGGAUAAGAGCUUGGGAUGCAUAAUUAAUCCAAUUAUGAGUAAGUUUGGUUCUAAUUAUGGUCUCAGAUUAUGCAGAGACCACCAAUUUUGCUUAAAAUCUUGCAACAUCAAUAGCACAGAAUUUAUCAUACCUUGCAAAAGAUUUGAUUUCAUUAGACAUAACAGUAAACGUACUGCUAUAUUGCUAAAUCUAAAACCCUAAAUGCAUUGAACAGUAUGAAAGAAGAAGGAUACAUAUAGGUAGCUACAUGUUCAUUGAGAAUAAAGUUUAGCUUAUGUUUUUGAUAAAUUCUUAUCUUGUCAACCAAGCAUUUCACAAUUUGUCUCUGAACAUCCAUGUGAUGCAACUUCAAGACAUUGAAAUGUGGUCAAAUUAGAUAUUUCUUUUGGAUUAUCAUAUUCACGUUCUUAACUUCAAGACAUUGAAAUGUCAAAAAGAAUUCGAACUAUCUUAUUAUAUAUAUGUUUUCAGAGAGAGUUAUUGUACUAGGAAACAAAAUUUAUGUUGGAUUCCAUUUAAGACAUAUUACGACUAAGAACAUUAUUCAUAUUGUCAAUGCGACUUUUUGUACCCUGAAAUUCUUAACAAAUCCCUGUGAUUUGAUGUUGGAAAAGAAGUCACUGCCGUCCCUAGCAAUUUGACAACUUGACAUUUGACAUCUUUAUAAGUUUCUAGCAAUUUAUUUUUGUUGGACAACUUCUAUGCUUUAUCCCAGUUUUGCUCUACGAAUGGAUAAAGAGUGAGAGUUAAGUAUACACGGUCUAUUGGAAUAAAGAGCAUGUUUUUUUGCUGGAGCAUUUGGAAGCUCAUAACAUCUUCUUUUGAGCGAAACAAUGGCAAAAUACUCCAUUCCACACUGAAUAUAUUUUUAUUUUGCUUAUGUAUUUUAUGUUUAGUUAUAUUAAUAAUGAAUAAUAUUAAAAAAAUGUAUAAAUAAAUAAAAACAUGGAAAUAUUUUAAUCCAUUUGCAAUAUCCACCUAGUUCUAGAAUUCCUUAACCAUUCGUAUGAGUGUUAUUGGACUAAGGUCACACCUCUCAUUGUGGGCAUUGAUUGUGCUAAAAUUAGAAAAUCUAAUUCUAUAACAUUGAUAUUUAUAUAAUCGUAGAAAGAAAAUGGACAUACAAGAAAAUGCAAAAUUUAUAAGUUCGCAUCAAUGUGAUAUUACAUCCUUUACCACCGCGCAAAAAUUUAUAAUGAUGUAAAUAAGUUUACAAGAGAAAAAUGGAUCUCACUCACCAUUUUUCUCUAACAUAUAUUUCUCUUCUGAUAAUGAUAUUUAAACUCUAUUGAUGGCUCUUUAUUUAUAAGAGAAAAUUAGAAAAUUUGAAAGUACAAAUGUCAAAUUCCUAAUAAUAAUUAGGCUCCAUAACUUAAUAUUCUUUCACUAGAGACUAAUCCAAUAUCAAUGCCUCCUCUACAGUUGCAAUAACUCUUCAAUCCUCAAGAAAGAAAUUAAACUAAAGUUGUGUGCAACUUUAGUUUCUCAAUUGGAAUAGUCAUUGUCAACACGGUAGCCGAUUCAUAGAAUCUUCUCAAGUAUCAAGAUUUCAUCCUCCAAAAUCGAUUUGAUGAAGUGAUAGUGAACUUAUAUAUGCUUCAUCCUUGCAUAAUUAAACAUGAUUAUUUGCUAAGUAAAUAGCACUCCAACGGUCACAAUAUAAUACAAAUAUUUCUUAGUUGUGACCCAAUUCUUUCAAGACAAACUACAACCAUAUCAUUAGUUCGCUAGUGUUAGUCACAACAACACACUCUGCCAGAGCAGUGAAAAGAGAGAUUAUCUUCAGUAGUUUAGAAACCAAAUUAACUACUAUACCACCUUAAGUGUGCAAAUUAUAAGUAGCUUUUUGUUGAUGACCACGGGAGCAAUUCCAGAAUAGAAUCGUUAUAACUAUUACUCUUUUCAGCUGGCAUUAUGUGUCACAUUAAAUUUUUGGUCUAUUUUCCCAAAAGUGAAUUUCAUGCAAGUUAUUUUUGUAGUACUUGGGAUGUAGGAAUACCUAUUCUCAUCUGCGAACUUAACUUGGCUGCAAGAGGUUAAGAACAAAUAAUCGAGUUUGUGUUUUGCAAGGUAGCCAUAAUUUUUCUUUUUGUGCAUGGCAAAAUGAAAUUUAACGAUUUAAAAUUUUAUUCAAAAAUUUAUUAACCAAUCUUUUCUAUAAAACACACAGGAGUUUUCGCAGGAUUAGUAAAUUGUAUAAAAUAAAAGCAUUUACCUUUUGCAAAGGAGUGUAUAAUGCUAACAAUAAGAAUGAAGAACCCUACAAAUGAAAUACACACACACAUCUUAAGUUUAGUAAGUUUCACAAUCGAAGGUGAUAAUUUACACAAGAUUUGAACUUCACUAUUACUACUCAAAAAGGCCUUCUAAUUUCGAACACAUAAAGUGGAAAUUGAAAAAUUCCAGCACAAUAUUUNACGGUGAUAGACCAACAACUCCAAGUCUUGAUACUCAUGGCACCCUAAGGGUGAUCUGACGAUAAUUAUAUGACCAAGGAUUGGUUCACACUGGGGAUUCUAUUAUCGGUUCAUACCUACCAAUAAGACUUCCUUAACACCCAAGUACAUAUGGAACACUAACCUUUGGAAUUCAACAAAAAUACACUAAUGUGCAGUUGACCACUAUGAACUCCUAAGUGGUAUCUACAUGCUAAAUUUAAUAUCAUAGUUGUCAGACCCGACCCGUACACUGACCCGGACAAUACUAUGAGUCAAUGGGUUAGUGGUUCAACUGGUAACUCGGUGGUUCAACUGACAGGUCAAACCGCGUCAAAUAUAUUAUUAAUUAUUUUCAUUGGAUAAUAAAAUUUUGACAUUUUAUAUCAAUAACUAAAUUAACCUCAUGUUAUUUUGUUAACUAAAGAAUAACAUCAGCCAAAAUUUCACAAAUUUUAGAUGAAAUAUGCAUUUGAAACAAUAAAAACAACAAUCAAUGAUUUAAAAAUAAAUAAAUAAAUAAAAAAUUACCACGCUUGAAAACUGUGUGCAUAGGUACACACAUUAAAAAAACCCAUUCCCAUUCUAUCAAAAAACCCAUUCACAUCCCCGUCCAAAAAUGUUUUCACAUUUUUACUUCAUGGAAAUCUUUUCUUUCCCAUAAUUCCUAGAAGACUAGUCGUCAAAUUUCUCUUCUUUAAUUCAAGACCCAGGCCCCAAUAGUAUGUUAAUCACCAAAAAAAAGGUCUGUUUUUUAAUUCGAAUUCUAGGCAAUCUUCUUGCACAAAGAACUGGUCCGAAAGGUGAAAAAAGCACCCCAAAAAAAAUCAGAUUUACUUGUUCUUCUUCCAUCUCUCAAAACUUGAAAUUGGAAAUUUUGGAUUUUCUGGAGUGUUUGAAUAGCGAGGAGACUGGGAGACAGCAGUGGAGGUUUUUGAUUUUGCAACAAUCCCUGAAUUGUGAGGAAACUGGAAAGGCAGGAAGAGAAAUCAACGUUUUAAACAAAUAAGAAGACGACCCGGUCGGUUCAGCAAAAAAUGGAUCGUCGAGUUAACUAAAAAAUAGGCGGUUCGGCGGGUUGAGGGGGGUUAUUUGUCCAACAAUAACUAUAUGUGACCCGGACCGGAUCUGGGUCCGGUUCGAUGGUUUCCGGACCAAACCGACUGGUCCGGUCCGGGUGUGAUAACACUGUUUAAUAUAGCUCGAGGCAUGAGCACCACAAGUUGUAGACUGGUUUGGAGUGGGCCUAAAUGACAUACCAAGUAGACACUGGCAGUGCGCCACUACUCAUUGUAGGAAUUGGGCACCGCAUUUUGGAGAUGGUUGCUAUCUUGUGGGAGAGAAAAGAUAAUAAAAUACGAGCUUAACAUUUACUAUCCCUAUCUUUUACAUUUUUUGUUACUUGUUGUACUAUUGAAUUCAUUAGCUAGGAAGUACAAUGGCAUAAACACUACUUGAAGAGCCUUUACCAUGCCAUCCAUUAUUUCAGGUUCACUAAGAGGUUCAUCCACCUGAAUACAAUAUCGUACUUGUUCCCAAGCUUUUGAUGUACUUUAUUACAAUGCUUUAUGCCUAGAAAAUUUACAAAAGCAAAAAGUUAGCAAUAUAUCCAACCAACAAAAGUUUCAAUGAUUCACAAUGGAUUGAAGGACUUAUUUUACAAAUUCGACAUGAUUCUGAUGUCAAUAUCACAUCCAUGCCAAAUCUUAUAUAGCAUUCUACAAUCUUAUUAUUAGGGCUGGGCAAAUCUCCCGAACCGAACCGACCGAACCCGAACCGAACCGAACCGAACCGAUCCGAACCCGACGGUUCUUGUCAAAUUAAAUACCCGAACGGGUAUCUGAAUUGAGAACCGACGGGUACGGUUCGGUUCUUGGUUCUAGACCAAGAACCGAAGAAUCGAAUAAGAACUGAAUCUUUCUAAUUUUUUUUUUAUAUUGAGUAAAUCAAAUUAUUUUAAUUUUAAUUUUUUCUAAACAAAUUAACAAAUUGAUGAUUUCUAAAUCCAAAUUUUUGGCCCAAUAAUUUGUUUCAUUUCUAAUUUUUUAAUUUUUGGCCCAAUUACCCAUUUUAUUGUUUCAUUUCUUAGCCAAACAAGAUCAAAUCCACUAAAUAACCCUAAACACCUACAAUAAAGUGCAUAACGUUGUCUCGACUCUCGCACUCACUCUCACAGCCUCGCUAAUAUUCCAAAACCUAUACAAUCGUCGGCCGACACUCUGACCUCUGAUUGAAGCCGUGACUUUCGCCGACCGAAACUUUGAUCGUAGCGAUCAUUUGAAUAAGGUAGUUUACUAGUAUCUGACAUUCCAAAACCAUUGAAUGUAUCAUUAGUCGUAUUUAUAUAAAGUUGUUAUAUAUGUUAAAAAAUUUAAUUAUAGUACAGAACCGAACGGAACCGAACCGAACCGAACCGAACUGAACCGAACCCGAAUGGUUCCAUAAUUAUAUUUGGACCCGGCGGUUCCAUUUACUAGAUACCCGAAAAGUUUGGGUCGGUUCGGUUCGAUUCUAAAGAGAACGGAACCGAACCGACCCGCGCCCACCCCUACUUAUUAUCAUCCAUUGCCACAACUAUAUCAAUAAAUCAGCACCCAAUUAGAAACCACAGAAACCAAAAACUUCAACAUAAUUCUGUUGAUAUCUUUUGAUUUAUAAAUAAAAGUAAAUAGAGCAAAUGAAGUGGACCUCUGCCAACUUCAUCCAACGAUGAUGCCAUUUUUGCCCUUUCUCAUGAUCUCUGUAAUUGAGGAUUGAAAUGUAAAUAAUCAUAUAUCCAUAACAUUGUAGUCUCCACUAUUUAAAUAUCCAUUUCAUUUUUCCAAUUAUCCUUUUAGUGGACAUGAAAAUUACACACAAUUAUAUCUGACGUAAAACAAAUUGUUUGAUAAACCAAUAAGGACAGAUAAAUUCUAUGUAUAACAACAAAAAUGCAAAUGAAUAAAAUUUAUGUGAACAUGUGAUCCAAAACCUUAGGCCUUCAUGAAGUGGACACAUUUAUAUAUUUAAAUUUGAUAUUCAAAAGCCCCAUGAAUUCAUUUUAUCAUCAGCAUAUCACUUGCAAAAGUUUCAUGAAUUGGUGGCAGCAAAUAUGAACCCAGGUCUUUGUCCUAUCUCUAUCACCAUGUUAUCUAUUUCAUCUGAAUGAUCAAUGUGUAAGCAGACUACAUUCACAGUAGUACAAUUAAAA
rnacentral:lncRNA from 1 species